UACGUAGGGGGCUAGCGUUGUCCGGAAUCAUUGGGCGUAAAGAGCGUGUAGGCGGUUCGGUAAGUCCGCUGUGAAAGUCGGGGGCUCAACCCUCGAAUGCCGGUGGAUACUGUCGGGCUAGAGUACGGAAGAGGCGAGUGGAAUUCCUGGUGUAGCGGUGAAAUGCGUAGAUAUCCGAAGGAACAUCAGUGGCGAAAGCGGCUUCCUGGACCAGAACUGACGAUCAGGCACAAAAGCGUGGGGAGCAAACAGG
rnacentral:rRNA from 1 species